rnacentral:rRNA from 1 species
AGAGUUUGAUCAUGGCUCAGGAUCAACGCUGGCGGCGUGCCUAACGCAUGUAAGUCGCACGCAGGUCCUUCGGGGAUGCCGCGCGGCGGACGGGUGCGUAACACGUGGGCAACCUGCCCUGGGGUGGGGGAUAGCCGUGGGAAACCGCGGGUAAUUCCGCAUACGUUCUGGUCUCGAGAGGGGGCCAGAAGAAAGGGCGCAAGCCCGCCCGAGGAGGGGCCUGCGGCCGAUUAGCUAGUUGGUGGGGUCAUGGCUUACCAAGGCAGUGAUCGGUAGCUGGUCUGAGAGGACGGCCAGCCACACGGGGACUGAGACACGGCCCAGACUCCUACGGGAGGCAGCAGUGGGGAAUCUUGCGCAAUGCGCGAAAGCGUGACGCAGCAACGCCGCGUGGGGGAAGAAGGCCUUCGGGUUGUAAACCCCUUUCAGGAGGGACGAAGCGUGGACGGUGAAUAGCCGAUUUACGUGACGGUACCUCCAGAAGAAGCCCCGGCUAACUACGUGCCAGCAGCCGCGGUAAUACGUAGGGUCCGAGCGUUGUCCGGAUUUAUUGGGCGUAAAGAGCUCGUAGGCGGCUUGUCGCGUCGACUGUGAAAGUCCGGGGCUCAACUCCGGAUCUGCGGUGGGUACGGGCAGACUAGAGUGAUGUAGGGGAGACUGGAAUUCCUGGUGUAGCGGUGAAAUGCGCAGAUAUCGGGAGGAACACCAGUAGCGAAGGCGGCUCGCUGGGCCAUACCUGACGCUGAGACGCGAAAGCGUGGGGAGCAAACAGGAUUAGAUACCCCCGUAGUCC